UCCGUACUUGCGUAAGUCCAGGUUCAAUCAAAGCUGACCCAGCCCCGUGGAGGGCCUUCUUUAUCUUUAGUCGGACUCCAUCUCCAUCUCCGGCCUCCUCGCGCGCCGCGGCGAUGGCGUCCACCGCCGUCAAGCUCAUCGGCAAGUGCUCCGCACCGAUCUCUAUCCUCCCGUCCAUGCGCUCUCCCUCCCCUUCAUGCUCUUAUCAGGACUGAUGCUCUGUCUUUGCCCUUCCCUCCACCAACCUUCUUCUCCGUCUCCGGCGCGGCAGCCACCCAUCAGAUAUCCGCCAACUUCACUGAUUGCAUGUUCAAGGGCAUGUACCACGGCAAAGCAGUGCCACGCCGCGGACAUCCCCGCCGUCCUCGCUCGCGCGUGGGCUGCCGGCGUCGACCGCAUCAUUGUCACUGGAGGGUCGCUGAAGGAGUCCAGGGAGGCACUUGAGAUCGCCGAGACCGACGGGAGGCUGUUCUGCACGGUGGGCGUGCACCCGACGAGAUGCGGGGAGUUUGAGGAGAGUGGAGACUCGGAAGGGCAUUUUCAGGCACUGCUGGCUCUGUCCAAGGAGGGGAUAUACAAAGGCAAGGUUGUGGCAGUUGGUGAAUGUGGUUUGGAUUAUGAUAGGCUUCACUUCUGUCCUGCAGAUGUACACAAGAAGUACUUUGAGAAACAAUUUGAAUUGGCCGAAGCAGCAAAACUACCAAUGUUUCUUCAUAUGAGGGCUGCCGAUGAAGAUUUCUGUGAAAUCAUGCCACGUAAUAUGUACAGUGUUGAAGAUCAUCCGUAUUGUGAAAUAAAAAAUACUCAUGCUGGAAUUCAGUUUGUAAAAUCAGUCUGGUCAUCCAAGAAGAAAGAGACUAUGAGACAGGUUCUAUAGUAAAAGGUCGCAAUGAACCUUUUUUAGUCAGGUAAAUGAAGACUGUUUUGCAUAAAUUCCAUUAAGAGGUUAUUUGAUUCAGUAAAUUUUCAGAGUGGUUUUGAGUUUUAACUCUGACAAACGUACUUCAACACCAGUAGAGAUUAUAUGUCUCUAAUGCAUAUUGUACUCCAUUCUUUUUAUGAACAGACCGACCAAAACUCAUCAUCUUUUCUGUAGGAACAUUAAGUAAAAACUUGCUUUUCCGUCAAUGGAUUUCUGAGCAUUGAUAAAUCAAUGAUAUUCAGUUAUCACUAGCCUUGUGCCCUGAGGUGCAAAACCAAAUAACUCUUUUUUGUUGCUCUGUCCUCUUAGGGGUAGAAUUCUCAAAGCAUAUCUUUUACGUGCAGGAAUUACCGUUCACUCACUUGAACAGCAACCACGGCACUGUAGCACUAGGUCAGGGAGGUUAGGGUAGACUAGUUAGUAUAUCUAUUGGUAUGUUAGGAUUUUAAUUGAUUUGUUUAGAGGUAAGUUAAGGAGUCGGAUUGAAUUAGAACUGUAUAGAGAUAAGUUAGGAAUUGGAAUUGAAUUAGGAUUGUAAUUUCCAAAUUAUUAUUAGUAUAUCUAUUGGUAUGUUAGGAUUUUAAUUGAUUUGUUUAGAGGUAAGUUAAGGAGUCGGAUUGAAUUAGAACUGUAUAGAGAUAAGUUAGGAAUUGGAAUUGAAUUAGGAUUGUAAUUUCCAAAGGGGCAGCCGGCACAUCCUUGUAAUCAAGCGAAAGAAGAAUUAAUCUAAGUCUCUCCAAUCUAUAAUCUAAUCUCUCCCUUAGCAGCUGAUGCCGCUCGGCUAUCCUCCUGGUGGAUGUUUAUCCCUCUAAUGAUCCUAGGAUCAUAACAAUUUCAUUGUCAUGACUAUCCAACUGUCUUUGGACUGCAAGUUGAAUUCGUCAGCCUAGUCGUUUUAUCUGUAUUUAUAUGCGCAUGACUUUUGAUGAUUAUCAAUUUCAGGCAAGUUCUCGUGGUAGUGGCAGGAUGCAAAGGAAUUGCUGGCAUAGAAGGCUUAAGUAAAACACUGUACCACAACACGUGCAGGGUCUUCUUCCCUAAUGACAUUGAUGCUUCUGCGGAUGCACAGCUUGAGAGUGGUACUGCUGUCCAGG